CGAUUUGAGGCUUGCAGAUGGGAAGCGAUGGCUGUUUCCCUGCAAGGUCAGGAGCAAGGGCUGCUGGAGACCCGUGCAUCUGGAGCAGCUCCAUGGGCUGCGCCGGAGCGGGGCCCCGCUGCGUUGCCCUUGGCACCGGUGCUGCGGCAACGCUGCGUUUUGCUCAGCUCGGCGGGGCCUCGGCGUUCCAGGCCCCAUUCUGCCCAAGCACAUCUGGUGCAGGAGCUCUUCGAAGGGCCGUGACCUUCAUUGAAUCAACUCCUUCACGUCCCGGAGGCGGCCGUGUCAUCUCCUGCCACCGUGCUCGGUGCAAAGCCUGCAGGGAGGAGGAGGAGAGCAUCGUUUUAGGAAUCGGUUCCGUUCUUCCCUUGCAACACAGUGGGCAAGCGCGGAGUACGCUGCCCUCGGAGGAGGACGGGGAUGGGGUUAAAGCUGCCCCUGAGCAACGUGGCUGUGCUAAUGGGAAACGUGCUGCAGUGGCAUCGACGCGGCCGCUUGCACCUUGGUUUGAUUUGGGCUUUUCCACCGCGGCCGUGCCCUCCGGCUGCAGGCUGCAACGCUGCUGCCUCCCCACGGAACGCGCCGCACGUGGGCACAAUGCAAAACCAGCGUUGUCCGGUGGAAAGCUUCCAGCUGCACGGCCCAGCAGCAAACUUUUCAGGGUCGAACCAGGCCGGGAGGGAUGAGCAGCGUGGGAUUGGGUUCGUGGACGUUCCCCUGGGUGGAACUCGCCACGAGGAGAGCGCUGGGGGGAACCCAGCCCCACCGAUGGGGAGCCCCCAAAUGUUUCUGCUGGGUGCGAUCCGCCCUCCUCCUGCUGCAUUGCGGGGCCCCACUGCGGUGCUGGGUGGGGGGGGGGAUCUGCAGGCAGCAUUUGUCCCCUUGGGGCUCAGUCUGGGGCUUUUUCAAGCUCUGGGAGCAGAGCUGUGGGUCCCUGCCUUAUCCUUAGAAAGGGGCUGACACUUUCCCAUGGGGCGAUGCCUGACUCUUGCCAUAACCACAGUGCUUUCCUCCCCGUGCAUCCUCCCUUUCCACCCCCAUCCAUCCCCCUUUCCUCCCCAGUAGCCCCACGUUGAGUUUUGCCAUCAGGACCUGCUUUUCCUUUUGCUUUUGCUCCUGCUGUCAACGGGUUCAAUCUUGACAGCCUCCCCGUUUCCAUCUGGGCUCGGAGCACGGGGAUCCAUCCCCGAAUUCAGCUCCCUCCUUCUCUCCCAGUUUUUUUUUUAAUGAGUCAACCUCUCAUCUGUCAUAUUAAACCUCCUCAUUACCAGGUAUCUAAAUUUUGCUCUGACAAUAGUGACAGGGGAAGCUUGCGAUAUCAUUGCCGCAGCGCGCGGCUCCGGGGAGCUGGCAGGUGGUUAUUUCAUGCCCUGCAGGGAGCCGUGGGGGUGGGCGACGCAGCCGGAUAAUGGGCUCUCGUUUCCCUUCAUUUAGAAAACUCCACUGGGUGCAGAGGG
rnacentral:lncRNA from 1 species